GAUGAAGGUGCGGUAACACGCCCUGGAGGUCCGAACCCACUAAUGUUGAAAAAUUAGGGGAUGAGCUGUGGGUAGGGGUGAAAGGCUAAACAAACCUGGAAAUAGCUGGUUCUCUCCGAAAACUAUUUAGGUAGUGCCUCAAGUAUCACCAUCGGGGGUAGAGCACUGUUAUGGCUAGGGGGUCAUUGCGACUUACCAAACCAUUGCAAACUCCGAAUACCGAUGAGUGCGAGCUUGGGAGACAGACGUCGGGUGCUAACGUCCGGCGUCAAGAGGGAAACAACCCAGACCGCCAGCUAAGGUCCCAAAGAUUGGCUAAGUGGAAAACGAAGUGGGAAGGCUAAAACAGUCAGGAUGUUGGCUUAGAAGCAGCCAUCAUUUAAAGAAAGCGUAAUAGCUCACUGAUCGAGUCGUCCUGCGCGGAAGAUGUAACGGGGCUAAGCCAGUCACCGAAGCUGCGGAUAUGUUUCUUAGUAUUUAUACUUUGAUCCAUAUGGUAGGAGAGCGUUCCGUAAGCCUGAGAAGGUGUCUUGUAAAGGAUGCUGGAGGUAUCGGAAGUGCGAAUGCUGACAUGAGUAGCGAUAAAGAGGGUGAAAAGCCCUCUCGCCGAAAGCCCAAGGUUUCCUGUUCAACGUUCAUCGGAGCAGGGUGAGUCGGCCCCUAAGGCGAGGCAGAGAUGCGUAGCUGAUGGGAAGCAGGUUAAUAUUCCUGCACCGUCGUAUGAUGCGAUGGGGGGACGGAUCGCGGAAGGUUGUCCAGCUGUUGGAAUAGCUGGUUUUUGACUCAUAGAAGGCGCUUAGGCAAAUCCGGGCGCGUAAUUCAAGGGGUCGAGACGGGUGUCCUUGCGACACGAAGCAAUCGGAAGUGGUUCCAAGAAAAGCCUCUAAGCUUCAGUCAUACGAGACCGUACCGCAAACCGACACAGGUGGGCGAGAUGAGUAUUCUAAGGCGCUUGAGAGAACUCGGGAGAAGGAACUCGGCAAAUUGGUACCGUAACUUCGGGAUAAGGUACGCCCCGGUAGCUUGAAUGGUUUACUCCAUGAGGGUGAAAGGGUUGCAAUAAACUGGUGGCUGCGACUGUUUAAUAAAAACACAGCACUCUGCAAACACGAAAGUGGACGUAUAGGGUGUGACGCCUGCCCGGUGCUGGAAGAUUAAAUGAUGGGGUGCAAGCUCUUGAUUGAAGUCCCAGUAAACGGCGGCCGUAACUAUAACGGUCCUAAGGUAGCGAAAUUCCUUGUCGGGUAAGUUCCGACCUGCACGAAUGGCGUAACGAUGGCCACACUGUCUCCUCCCGAGACUCAGCGAAGUUGAAAUGUUUGUGAUGAUGCAAUCUACCCGCGGCUAGACGGAAAGACCCCAUGAACCUUUACUGUAGCUUUGCAUUGGACUUUGAACCAAUCUGUGUAGGAUAGGUGGGAGGCUUUGAAGCGGGGACGCCAGUUCUCGUGGAGCCAACCUUGAAAUACCACCCUGGUUCGUUUGAGGUUCUAACCUUGGCCCGUGAUCCGGGUCGGGGACAGUGCAUGGUAGGCAGUUUGACUGGGGCGGUCUCCUCCUAAAGUGUAACGGAGGAGUUCGAAGGUACGCUAGGUACGGUCGGACAUCGUGCUAAUAGUGCAAUGGCAUAAGCGUGCUUAACUGCGAGACCGACAAGUCGAGCAGGUACGAAAGUAGGACAUAGUGAUCCGGUGGUUCUGUAUGGAAGGGCCAUCGCUCAACGGAUAAAAGGUACUCUGGGGAUAACAGGCUGAUUCCUCCCAAGAGUUCAUAUCGACGGGGGAGUUUGGCACCUCGAUGUCGGCUCAUCACAUCCUGGGGCUGUAGCCGGUCCCAAGGGUAUGGCUGUUCGCCAUUUAAAGUGGUACGUGAGCUGGGUUUAAAACGUCGUGAGACAGUUUGGUCCCUAUCUGCCGUGGGCGUUGGAAAUUUGAAGGGGGCUGCUCCUAGUACGAGAGGACCGGAGUGGACGAACCUCUGGUGUACCGGUUGUCACGCCAGUGGCAUUGCCGGGUAGCUAAGUUCGGAAGAGAUAACCGCUGAAAGCAUCUAAGCGGGAAACUCGCCUUGAGAUGAGAUUUCCCGGAGCCUUGAGCUCCUUGAAGGGUCGUUCGAGACCAGGACGUUGAUAGGUCGGGUGUGGAAGUGCAGUAAUGCAUUAAGCUAACCGAUACUAAUUGCCCGUACGGCUUGUCC
rnacentral:rRNA from 1 species